rnacentral:rRNA from 1 species
GGACUACCGGGGUUUCUAAUCCUGUUUGCUCCCCACGCUUUCGCGUCUCAGCGUCAGUUCCGGGCCAGUGAGCCGCCUUCGCCACUGGUGUUCUUGCGAAUAUCUACGAAUUUCACCUCUACACUCGCAGUUCCACUCACCUCUCCCGGACUCAAGAUCCCCAGUAUCAAAGGCCGUUCCGAGGUUGAGCCUCGGCAUUUCACCCCUGACUUAAGGACCCGCCUACACGCGCUUUACGCCCAGUAAUUCCGAACAACGCUAGCCCCCUUCGUAUUACCGCGGCUGCUGGCAC